rnacentral:rRNA from 1 species
CGGAGGAUCCAAGCGUUAUCCGGAUUUAUGGGUUUAAAGGGUGCGUAGGCGGCUUAUUAAGUCAGGGGUGAAAGACGGUGGCUCAACCAUCGCAGUGCCCUUGAUACUGAUGAGCUUGAAUGAACUAGAGGUAGGCGGAAUGUGACAAGUAGCGGUGAAAUGCAUAGAUAUGUCACAGAACACCGAUUGCGAAGGCAGCUUACUAUGGUUUUAUUGACGCUGAGGCACGAAAGCGUGGGGAUCAAACAGGAUUAGAUACCCUGGUAGUCCACGCCCUAAACGAUGAAUACUCGCUGUUAGCGAUAUACAGUUAGCGGCUAAGCGAAAGCGUUAAGUAUUCCACCUGGGGAGUACGCCCGCAAGGGUG